rnacentral:rRNA from 1 species
UACGGAGGGUGCGAGCGUUGUCCGGAAUCACUGGGCGUAAAGGGCGCGUAGGCGGCCUGAUAAGUAGGGGGUGAAAUCCUGCGGCUUAACCGCAGGGCUGCCUUCUAAACUGUCGGGCUUGAGCACAGUAGAGGCAGGUGGAAUUCCCGGUGUAGCGGUGGAAUGCGUAGAGAUCGGGAAGAACAUCGGUGGCGAAGGCGACUACCUGGCCUGUUCUUGACGCUGAGGCGCGAAAGCUAGGGGAGCAAACGGG